ACGACCUUACUUGAACAGGAUCUGUUCUAUAGGCUCGUACCUCUGUAUCCUUGAUUUCUAAGGAGACAGGAAACCAUGUCUGGUGGAUGAAUCAUGGCUGCUCGACCAGAGCGUGAUUAACGGACUCACUGGCCUUGCCCAGUUGACUCAGUAGAGGAUCGUUCUCGGCUAGCUUCGGCUGGUUGAGGUGGUCGUGCAGCUGUCUGACAGACU
rnacentral:snoRNA from 1 species